GGCCGGUUAGCUCAGUCAGUUGAGCGCAGCACUAGCAAUGCUAAGGUCGCAGGUUUGAUUCCCGUUUGGUCCC
rfam:Apaloderma vittatum contig12886, whole genome shotgun sequence.